rnacentral:misc_RNA from 1 species
UCUCCGUAGGUGAACCUGCGGAGGGAUCAUUACAGAGUUCAUGCCCUACCGGGUAGAUCUCCCACCCUAUGUUAUUAUUACUUUGUUGCUUUGGCGGGCCGUUAGGCUCCGGCCCGACUACCGGCCCCGGCUGGUAAGCGCCCGCCAGAGGACCCAAAACCCUGAAUAUUAGUGUCGUCUGAGUACUAUAUAAUAAUUAAAACUUUCAACAACGGAUCUCUUGGUUCUGGCAUCGAGAAGAACGCAGC